rnacentral:rRNA from 1 species
GAUGAACGCUGGCGGCGUGCCUAAUACAUGCAAGUCGAGCGAACGGACGAGAAGCUUGCUUCUCUGAUGUUAGCGGCGGACGGGUGAGUAACACGUGGAUAACCUACCUAUAAGACUGGGAUAACUUCGGGAAACCGGAGCUAAUACCGGAUAAUAUUUUGAACCGCAUGGUUCAAAAGUGAAAGACGGUCUUGCUGUCACUUAUAGAUGGAUCCGCGCUGCAUUAGCUAGUUGGUAAGGUAACGGCUUACCAAGGCAACGAUGCAUAGCCGACCUGAGAGGGGGAUCGGCGACACUGGAACGGAGACGCGGUCCAGACUCCUACGGGAGGCAGCAGUAGGGAAUCUUCCGCAAUGGGCGAAAGCCUGACGGAGCAACGCCGCGUGAGUGAUGAAGGUCUUCGGAUCGUAAAACUCUGUUAUUAGGGAAGAACAUAUGUGUAAGUAACUGUGCACAGCUUGACGGUACCUAAUAAGAAAGCCACGGCUAACUACGUG